CUCAACGUCAGCGUCGGGUAGCUGGAGGAUGAAGCCGCAUGCAGCUCCUGUGUGUCUCUCGGAGCCUCUCAGAGGGCAGUGUGUGAUUUGUGCCGGGAGGGAAACGAUCUUCCCAUGACUGCUCUGACUCGCUCCAGCUGCUCUUCUUCAUCACCCACCUUCACCCUCGGACCCCAAGGGACCAACUGAUUGAGUUCUUCUACAGCCGUCAUGUCCUGGUUGUUCCUGGACUGGUUCGUGCCCCUCUACCUGCUGGUGUCGGUGCUGGUGCUGGCAGGCUUCGGAGCGUGUCUGUACUUCCUCGAGCCCGGGCUGCAGGACGCCCACAAAUGGAGCAACAAAACGAUCCGGCAUCACCCGCUGGUGGCCAGCGUGAACUGCAGAGAUGACGAUAGCAAUGCCCUGAUCUGAUCCGAUGAUGGAGAGGGUGGCCGGCGGAGGACGCGUCCAGACAGUGGAGGGGCAGACAGGACACCGAGGGGACAGGGAGGAGAGGAGAGCAUAAGAGGGGAAACACCUUGACAGCGAAAAUAGUAGCAGGAAGAGGGAUCAUUUAUCAUUCCAACUUUUCUUUGCUCUCUGUGGAUUUUCCCGACAGUGAUCAAAGAAAAUAAGGGAGAUAUGCUGGACUGCAGAAGAAGAAAAACAAAAGAAACAUGCUUCCCUUUAGUGUUUGUACGUCUGAUGCCAUCUUAUAUACUUGUGCCAACUUUUGCAUACAUUUUGUAAUUUGACAAUCACUUUACAUGUGACACAAAGUUGACUUUGAUUGUGUUUUUGUUCAUAGUGAAGUGAAUACAGAGGUGGAUGAAGUAGCCACAAAUUGUACUCAAGUAAGAGUAGCUCUACUUCAACACAUUUUUGCUCAAGUGAAACUAAAACGUAGCCAUCCAAGAAAUUAUUCAAGAGUGAAAACGUAUUUGGUAAAAAGGCUACUCACGUACUGAGUAACUGAUCAAAAAUAUGAAUUACUUUAUAUUUUAAAAAUUGCAUCAUCAGAUGGACCGAAAUAUAAAGUUAUAUGAAAUGUUGGUGGACCAAAAUGAAAAUGAUUCAUGCAAAUAACAUAAUUACCAACUUAAGAAAAAAUAAAUCCAAAUGAAUUUCUUUAAACAUAUGACACUUCAACAAAAACAGCAGGUGUGUUUGGUGAAUUACUGGUUACAACAAGCUUGUUCUCCAUUCAGUGAAGAUACUCACAGUGGGUAGAGCAUCCAGAAAGUUUACUCAAGUAAGAGUUGUAAUAAUAAAAUUAUUCAAAUAAAAGUAGUAGUAAAAAGUACUUUUAUUUAUUUUUUUUCUAAAUGCUCCUGGAGUAAAUGCAACUACUUACUACCUAACUAAAUGAUGUAAAUCUGCUACCACUGGGGGAAGUUUUUUUUCUUUUUCUCUGAUGUGUGUAAGGCAGCUGUUGAAAAGGCAUGUGGAUCAUUAGUUCUGCCGUGCCAAACUGAUGCAACGCUUCUUACAGUGACCUGCUGUGAAUAAAUACCAGAGAUUCCUUCAACGUGCCAAGAACAUCACAGAUGAACCAACAGCGAGGAAAAAUAGCGUUUGUUAAUUCAUUGUGUUUUGAUUUCUGACAGCACCAUGAGGAAAUAGUGUAACAGCCAUUUUUACCUUCUUUGUUCAUACAAAAUAAAAUCUUUUCCUCCA